rnacentral:lncRNA from 1 species
GAAGCUGUGCAAACUUAGGGCGCAAGAGAAGACAAACCUGAGUUAUCUUGUGACUGUUUGUGGAUAAGGGAGAGCUAGGGCGUGGUCAAUGACAAGCUGUCUUUGAGCUGUAAAGGAACAGCAGCCUUGACCAUGUAUCUAGCCAUCUUUAUGAAAAAGGUUCAUGGGAGCCUUAAGGGAACCAAUCAGGUGCCAGCCCUUGCCUUGACCAGUUUGAAUCAACCAAUCACCAGCCAGCAUUCUCUACUCCAAUCAGAUCAAUUCACUCAGAUUGCAAACAAGAAAACUAGACUAGGGUUUAGGAAACUACACUAUUACAAGAGAUAAGCUUUUUCUUUAAUUCAAAUGAUCCAAUAAGCUUCCUCCUUAAGGAUAAGGUUCCUUUUGCUUUAUGCCAACCGUGGACAGGCUGUCAUGUGUGCUCCCUUCUUCCUUUUGCAACAAUCUGAUCAGAUAAGGAUAAGCAAGGCUUCUACUCAACACACAAAGUUACCUAAGUAACUUUGGUUCACCGAGGUCAAGUUACCUUGCCCAAUCUGUACGGCCUAGUACGGCUUCUGUACGGCCUUGCACAAUCCUCUCCUAACUCCAUCUCCCUUAGUUUCUCAAGUCAUCUCUUCUCAUAUACUGAACUCAUCUCAACAUGUUUGUGGAUAAGGGAGAGCUAGGGCGUGGUCAAUGACAGGCUGUCUUUGAGCUGUAAAGGAAAAGCAGCCUUGACCAUGUAUCUAGCCAUCUUUAUGAAAAAGGUUCAUGGGAGCCUUAAGGGAACCAAUCAGGAGCCAGCCCUUGCCUUGACCAGUUUGAAUCAACCAAUCACCAGC